rnacentral:rRNA from 1 species
AGAGUUUGAUCAUGGCUCAGAUUGAACGCUGGCGGCAUGCCUUACACAUGCAAGUCGAACGGUAACAGGUCUUCGGAUGCUGACGAGUGGCGAACGGGUGAGUAAUACAUCGGAACGUGCCCGAGAGUGGGGGAUAACGAGGCGAAAGCUUUGCUAAUACCGCAUACGAUCUCAGGAUGAAAGCAGGGGACCGCAAGGCCUUGCGCUCACGGAGCGGCCGAUGGCAGAUUAGGUAGUUGGUGGGAUAAAAGCUUACCAAGCCGACGAUCUGUAGCUGGUCUGAGAGGACGACCAGCCACACUGGGACUGAGACACGGCCCAGACUCCUACGGGAGGCAGCAGUGGGGAAUUUUGGACAAUGGGCGCAAGCCUGAUCCAGCAAUGCCGCGUGCAGGAAGAAGGCCUUCGGGUUGUAAACUGCUUUUGUACGGAACGAAACGGUCCUGGUUAAUACCUGGGGCUAAUGACGGUACCGUAAGAAUAAGCACCGGCUAACUACGUGCCAGCAGCCGCGGUAAUACGUAGGGUGCAAGCGUUAAUCGGAAUUACUGGGCGUAAAGCGUGCGCAGGCGGUUUUGUAAGACAGGCGUGAAAUCCCCGGGCUUAACCUGGGAAUUGCGCUUGUGACUGCAAGGCUGGAGUGCGGCAGAGGGGGAUGGAAUUCCGCGUGUAGCAGUGAAAUGCGUAGAUAUGCGGAGGAACACCGAUGGCGAAGGCAAUCCCCUGGGCCUGUACUGACGCUCAUGCACGAAAGCGUGGGGAGCAAACAGGAUUAGAUACCCCGGUAGUCC